UACGUAGGUCGCAAGCGUUGUCCGGAUUUACUGGGCGUAAAGCGUGCGCAGGCGGUUUUGUAAGCCAGAUGUGAAAUCCCCGGGCUUAACCUGGGAAUGGCAUUUGGGACUGCAAGGCUCGAGUGCGGCAGAGGAGACUGGAAUUCCUGGUGUAGCAGUGAAAUGCGUAGAUAUCAGGAGGAACACCGAUGGCGAAGGCAGGUCUCUGGGCUGACACUGACGCUCAUGCACGAAAGCGUGGGGAGCAAACAGG
rnacentral:rRNA from 1 species